UACGUAGGGAGCAAGCGUUGUUCGGAUUUACUGGGCGUAAAGGGCGCGUAGGCGGUCAGCACAAGUCAGUUGUGAAAUCUCCGGGCUUAACUCGGAAAGGUCAACUGAUACUGUGCGACUAGAGUGCGGAAGGGGCAAUCGGAAUUCUCGGUGUAGAGGUGAAAUUCGUAGAUAUCGGGAGGAACACCAGUGGCGAAGGCGGCGACCUGGGCCAAUAUUGACGCUGAGGUGCGAAAGCGUGGGGAGCAAACAGG
rnacentral:rRNA from 1 species